rnacentral:misc_RNA from 1 species
UCGCUGCUUACCUCUGCGCGGUUUCUCUUCGCCCUACGCCGCCUUUCUCCCAUCCACACGUGUCGUGCUCAACCUGGCAGUGGCGAGCGGCGAAGGAGUGGACGGCUGCCCCGCGCUGUCAUUGCAGCCGCAUCAGCGAGACGGAAAACAAAUACAGCAUAGAGGAAUACAUCGUAAAGGGAUUGCGUGCACAGACCCCUUCAGCAGCCGCAAUCUGCACACACACGCACGUGCACGACAAGUCCCGUCUAGGCAUCCGGCCAUGGCCCAGACGGUUGACCAAGUACUGUUGGAGUGGCUCGAGGCAGCACCACAGGUGCCUCGCCGGGACCGGCAGACGCUGCUGCUCAAAGAACUCAUGUCCCUCCAUGCACUGCAAGCCAUUCGCUUGAACGCGGGAGAGUCAGGCAAGGAGACCGAGCAGCGUAGCUGGAAGGACAAUCACACGCGGGCCGCGGCGAAGGUGAGCGCGGCACUGCGCCGUGCGCUCCUUGAUACCGUAGACACUGAUGCUGCACGCCGGCUCGCAGAGUCGCUGUCCGUGUCCACCGACGUAGACCUGCUGUAUGGGGCCCUCGACACUCACUGCAUCAUGUUGCUCCACGUCGCCGGAGAUGGUCCGCGUCGACCGGCACGGAAGCUGCGCGGUGUGGAAGACAUCAUCAACGAGCUCAGUGAAUUUCAGGAGUCGGUGCUGCUUCUUCGCGUCGACCUCACCUCGUCCGCGCAAAGUCCCCCCGCAACCUCUUCGUCGCCCACCCUAGUUGGAGGUGUGUCGCAGGUGAAGAGCUGGGUGGAGCAGUGCACCGCAGACCUCGAGAUCGGCACCCAGGUGACCUACUACGCCGACGCUGAAUGCUCGCACGCCUUCUUCGACAUACGAAGCGUGUUUGUUUUCUCUGCCGACAGCGCCAAGGUGGAGCGCAUUUCGAGAGAGUUGUUGCCCCGUGGCGGCCACGAUCUCAACGAUGUGCUGCGCGGCGUCCGCUUCGGUGGGUUUUCUGUGGGGUGACGCACGGACAGGCAGACGGGCGGCGUUGUCACUUUUCUCGCCGUUGAGGCUUGAGCCUGUGAAUCACUGUGAAAAGCGAUGCCUGCCUCUGUGUGCGCGCGCGCGUUUAAGUGUCGAUUAGAGAAAGGCGCAGACACUCAGGCCGACAGACAGACAGACUUUGGCGUGUUGGAUCUCAUCUCCUGCCCUCUGUCUCUCUGCUAUGGCGCCUUGCCCUGCUUGACCUUGCGCAUGCCGCUUCUUUUGGUGCUCACCCAGAGGCAUAUCAGAGGCCUCUCCGAGGCACAGCAGCGACGCGUCCACUCCCUUGCCCCUUUCCUUUGCUGCACCACCGCUUCUAUGGCUGCUGUCUGUGCACAAGGCCUUAGGAGGGCUGCC